rnacentral:rRNA from 1 species
UACGUAGGGGGCAAGCGUUGUCCGGAUUUAUUGGGCGUAAAGAGCGUGUAGGCGGUUUGGUAGGUCCGCUGUGAAAACUCGAGGCUCAACCUCGAGACGCCGGUGGAAACCAUCAGACUAGAGUCCGGAAGAGGAGAGUGGAAUUCCUGGUGUAGCGGUGGAAUGCGCAGAUAUCAGGAAGAACACCCGUGGCUAAGGCGGCUCUCUAGUACGGUACUGACGCUGAGACGCGAAAGCGUGGGGAGCGAACAGG